GACGAACGCUGGCGGCGUGCUUAACACAUGCAAGUCGAACGAAGUGGCGAACGGGUGAGUAACGCGUAAUCAACCUGCCCUUCAGAGGGGGACAAAAGUUGGAAACGACUGCUAAUACCGCAUACUGAAGGAGGGGAGUGCGUCGGAUUAGCUAGUUGGAGGGGUAACGGCCCACCAAGGAGAGGAGCAGUAGCCGGGCUGAGAGGAGGAACGGCACCCUUGGGACUGAGACACGGCCCAGACUCCUACGGGAGGCAGCAGUGGGGAAUCUUUCGCAAUGGACGAAAGUCUGACGGAGCAACGCCGCGUGAGUGAUGACGGCCUUCGGGUUGGAAAGCUCUGUUAAUCGGGACGCGGUACCGGAAUAGAAAGCCACGGCUAACUACGUGCCAGCCGCCGCGGUAAUAC
rnacentral:rRNA from 1 species